rnacentral:sRNA from 2 species
CCAUCUUGUAUGCUGAAUUCCGGGUCGCCAGGCCCGGAAGCGGGGGACCCAACGUUUUGGGGUGAAUCCGGCAGUUACUGCUGGUAGGGCGCCCUGGCCCGAAUCCGUCAGCUAACCUCGUAAGCGUAAAGGGAGAGGGUGG